AAACAGCAGCGUGACUUCCGCUGACAGACUAUUGUGAACAUCCGGUGUCCCUGCCACCGCGCAUGCGCAGGAGGGAAUCCACUUUUCGGAAAACGCAUGCGUGGUAUUCCCAGAUGGAACGGCUUUCUUGUUGUUGUGAUACCCAGAAUGCAUUUCUGCUCAUCAAGAGUCCUACCUCCAGGCAUGUAGAACAGAAUUACUCCCUCCUUGACCUGUUUGGUUCCGGGUUCCUGAUGGGGGCUUCCUGAUGUGAUUCUCACGUAGCCCCCACCCCAUUCUUUUCCUUGAAUUGUCUUCCUCAUCAUUUUGAAUACACAAGUGCAGACCUGUGUUGUCCUGGUGAGAGCUGCACAGCCAGUGCGACGGACAGACAGACAGACACAGAAGGUCUUUUUUGACUCUCCAGAGAGAUGAGCAUCCCUCUUAUCUCUUCUUAUCGUCUGGAUCCAUGGGGCACAGCUAUUUGAAACUGGGGGAGAAGGUUUGCCCCACUGAAUGCUUUAUUAAAAGUUCUGUUUCCUAUUC